CGCGUAGGCGGCUUGUUAAGUCGGAUGUGAAAACCGGGGGCUUAACCCGCGGGCUGCAUUCGAAACUGACAGGCUUGAGUCUGGUAGAGGAAAGUGGAAUUCCUGGUGUAGCGGUGAAAUGCGCAGAUAUCAGGAGGAACACCAGUGGCGAAGGCGGCUUUCUGGGCCACGACUGACGCUGAGGCGCGAAAGCUAGGGGAGCAAACAGGAUUAGAUACCCUGGUAGUCC
rnacentral:rRNA from 1 species